rnacentral:piRNA from 1 species
GGAAACCUAUAACAGCUGUGACGCUCC